rnacentral:rRNA from 1 species
CCUACGGGAGGCAGCAGUGGGGAAUAUUGCACAAUGGGCGCAAGCCUGAUGCAGCAACGCCGCGUGAGGGACGACGGCCUUCGGGUUGUAAACCUCUUUUAGUAGGGAAGAAGCGAAAGUGACGGUACCUGCAGAAAAAGCACCGGCUAACUACGUGCCAGCAGCCGCGGUAAUACGUAGGGUGCAAGCGUUGUCCGGAAUUAUUGGGCGUAAAGAGCUCGUAGGCGGUUUGUCGCGUCUGCUGUGAAAACCCGAGGCUCAACCUCGGGCCUGCAGUGGGUACGGGCAGACUAGAGUGCGGUAGGGGAGAUUGGAAUUCCUGGUGUAGCGGUGGAAUGCGCAGAUAUCAGGAGGAACACCGAUGGCGAAGGCAGAUCUCUGGGCCGUAACUGACGCUGAGGAGCGAAAGCAUGGGGAGCGAACAGGAUUAGAUACCCUGGUAGUCCAUGCCGUAAACGUUGGGAAACUAGAUGUAGGGACCAUUCCACGGUUUCUGUGUCGCAGCUAACGCAUUAAGUUCCCCGCCUGGGGAGUACGGCCGCAAGGCUAAAACUCAAAUGAAAUUGACGGCUUGAGAGNGCGAGCGACGACGAGGGAGGAGG